GGGUGGAGACACGUUUUCAAGUUAUCCGCCCUUGAUGCGUUAAUAUAAACAGCACAUAAUAAUACGAAGACCGGACGUUUAUAUGCCCCUUUUUAAACGUGACUACAAGUGUGGUUCUCGAUAUUUUGCGAUUUGGAAUACAAUUAUCAAUUUAUUCAAACAACACGUUAUUAUUAGUUCGAGUAGUCAUAUUAAAACACACACAAUUAUCAAUUUAUUCAAAUAACACUUUAUUAUUGGUUCGAGUAGUCAUAUUAAAAUAAACACAAUUAUCAAUUUAUUAAAAUAACACUUUAUUAUUGGUUCGAGUAAUUAUAUUAAAACAAACGCAAUUAUCAAUUUAUUAAAACAACAUUUUAUUAUUGGUCCGAGUCGUCUUUCUGUUGGGUCCGAAUAGUCUUUUUGUAUGGUCCGAGUAGUCUAUUUGUUUGGGCUGAGUGGUCUAUCACUUGGUCCGACUGGUCUUGAACCGAGUGAUCUUUGGUCCGAGUGGUCAUGGAUUCUUGUCGUAAUUGUACUUGAAUUUCCUAUGCUGUCACCCCUAAUACGAAAUGAUAUCUUCCGCAGAGUGACGUAACCAUCUUCCAUAUUGGUAUUUUUCUCUGGGAAAAGUUUGUGAUAUUUCAAUUUUUCAAGAGAGAAUUUGUUUUCAUCGUUGUGAUAAUUAGUUGUGCAAUGGAUUUUAUCGAACGGGAGUUCAUUACAAACACACAGUUUCAGCCAACCUGAUGGUGUUUCGAGAAAUGGCGUGAAUAGUGCACCCCUGCACCCCCCAAAACUAUCCAGAUGUUUAAGAACUCAGUCUACUUGAUUAAAUCGUUAUAUUGUUUUUGUCUUGUACCGAUGUGAUCAAAUCCUGGGUCGACCCGUGUGUGCGCUGUCAUGCACGCUAAAGUAACUGUUCAUUUGUUAAACGAAGGCCCCUCUGUUUUGAGUUACAGUUUGACACGUAGCUUAUACAUGGUACUGAGACAGAAAACGAUUGAAAUAGAAGGUACACUAUAUUUCAAUGGAGUGUACAAAUAGACAACAAAUAAACGGAGUUUUGUGUAAGUUUGCAAUCCAAUAACAUUAAAGGUAGAUAACAUAAUUUACAUAGUCUUUUGCUUUAGAUUAUAAAACGGAAAAUGGUAUAAAUUGUCCGCUAGAAAAAUCAUUUAAAGAUACAUUAUGGGAGAUUAGAUACAGAGCUGGCAGUUCUAACGAUAAUAGUUCAAAACUAGAUAAGGGAAUUUGCUGAAAAUUUCAGUCAAAUUGAUCCCCUCUGAACCGAGAUUUUAGCGAUUGAAUUUUCGGCCUAACCUCGAUCAUCAUUACUAAUGUCGUACGAUAAAAACCCCAUAGUCUCGAUUAUCCAUUUUUUAUAUUAUUAAAUCAUGAAUGGAAGUCGAACAACAAAUCGGAACCUAAUCCAACGCAGGCUAGCGAUGACAUCGAGAGUUGAUUAUGGUCUGGAUAAGUUAAUUAAUGAAAGACCUGCAAUAGGCAUAAUGUAUUUUUAAGUCCUCAAAUCUUCCGAACAUAUGACCAUAUCUUUAUUAGAUAAGGAUAGUUUUCAAUAUGGUUUGCCGUGGAUGUACUGAAUAAUAGAUAUAUAUUCACGCUGGUAUUGCUGAAUGUUUCAAGGUCACAAGUAUUUGUACAUUAAUAAAUAUAGUAUAUAUGUUAUUGUUGUUUAUUACAGUUUAUGACAACUGGUGAACAUGUUUUCAGAUUGUGGUAAUACAGUUUGAUUUAUAAACAUUUGAUUUUAUUGUUAUUUGUAAGAUGUAUGAUAGUUAAUAUUUGCCAAGGUUGAGUAAUUCACAUGUCUGGUUGCAGGUAUGAUUGCAUUGAAUGCAUGUGAACUGCCUGUUUUGUUGUCGUGGUUUGAUUGGUUGUGAGUGAAACUGUAGUUUACGUGGUGGGAGAUAUGAAUUUAUAUUGUCACUCUAAUAAUGGAUUUUGGGAGAAUCACACGUAUUCAUUGAUCAUAUCAUUCAUGAAUCUUUCGUAAAUAUAUUUCAACUAAAUGGGUGUUAGACUGUGUGUCUCGUUGGGUUUUGACUGUGUGUCGUUAUAAUGGUAAUCUAUGUGAUUAAUGAGUAAGAAUUAGUACAUUUACUUGUCAGUAUUGUUUGAUUUGAUAAUCGUGGAUGUAUAGAAAUAAUUUGAUUAUUUGUUAAACAUUGUGUUAUGUUUUAUAGGUAUUCUGAUUCUGAUAAUGUUAAUGUGCUACGGAUAGUGUUACCUAUAUUGUUACUCUGGUCGUUAUUGUUCCAGUUCGUUAUUUUUAUAGUGAUUAAAAGAUCUACAUGAAUAACUCAUCAACCUUAUCAUCUUAAUCAUCUUAAUGUGUGCGCGUGUGCCACCAAUUCAUCGUCAUCUCAACAUAUAAAUGUGAUUAGUGGUAUUUUGAAUCAGUGAUAUCGAUUACGUGAACUUAUUGGAGAAUAAUUACAUAAAUAUAUAUAUACAUUAUAAUUGUAUUGAUAUAUUGUAGUUAUAUAAAGAUAU